UACAGAGGUCUCAAGCGUUGCUCGGAUUCAUUGGGCGUAAAGGGUGCGUAGGUGGCGGGGUAAGUCAGGUGUGAAAUCUCGGGGCUUAACUCCGAAACUGCAUUCGAUACUGCCGUGCUUGAGGACUGGAGAGGAGACUGGAAUUUACGGUGUAGCGGUGAAAUGCGUAGAUAUCGUAAGGAAGACCAGUGGCGAAGGCGGGUCUCUGGACAGUUCCUGACGCUGAGGCACGAAGGCCAGGGGAGCAAACGGG
rnacentral:rRNA from 1 species